rnacentral:rRNA from 1 species
GUAACACGUGAGUAACCUGCCCUUGACUCUGGGAUAAGCCUGGGAAACUGGGUCUAAUACCGGAUAUGACCUUCCAUCGCAUGGUGGUUGGUGGAAAGCUUUUGUGGUUUUGGAUGGACUCGCGGCCUAUCAGCUUGUUGGUGGGGUAAUGGCCUACCAAGGCGACGACGGGUAGCCGGCCUGAGAGGGUGACCGGCCACACUGGGACUGAGACACGGCCCAGACUCCUACGGGAGGCAGCAGUGGGGAAUAUUGCACAAUGGGCGCAAGCCUGAUGCAGCGACGCCGCGUGAGGGAUGACGGCCUUCGGGUUGUAAACCUCUUUCAGUAGGGAAGAAGCGAAAGUGACGGUACCUGCAGAAGAAGCGCCGGCUAACUACGUGCCAGCAGCCGCGGUAAUACGUAGGGCGCAAGCGUUAUCCGGAAUUAUUGGGCGUAAAGAGCUCGUAGGCGGUUUGUCGCGUCUGCCGUGAAAGUCCGGGGCUCAACUCCGGAUCUGCGGUGGGUACGGGCAGACUAGAGUGAUGUAGGGGAGACUGGAAUUCCUGGUGUAGCGGUGAAAUGCGCAGAUAUCAGGAGGAACACCGAUGGCGAAGGCAGGUCUCUGGGCAUUAACUGACGCUGAGGAGCGAAAGCAUGGGGAGCGAACAGGAUUAGAUACCCUGGUAGUCCAUGCCGUAAACGUUGGGCACUAGGUGUGGGGGACAUUCCACGUUUUCCGCGCCGUAGCUAACGCAUUAAGUGCCCCGCCUGGGGAGUACGGCCGCAAGGCUAAAACUCAAAGGAAUUGACGGGGGCCC